rnacentral:tRNA from 1 species
GCCCUUGUGGAGCAGCCUGGAAUGCUCGCCACUCUGUCAACGUGGAGAUCGCGGGUUCAAAUCCCGCCAAGGGCGCCU